ensembl:lncRNA
CCCACGUAGUUAGCUACAAGCACUCCGCCAUUACACAUUAACUAGCUAGCUUUGUGCUGCUCAGUCAGUGUUGGGCAAGUCUGUGGUCAAAUGCAACGUUCUUUCAACUCACCCGCCGUUUUGCGUUCCACCAAAUGACAUUAAUCUUCUAUUUGGUUGAAUUUCUCUUUGCGUAAAAACACUAACGUUAAUACUGACUCCGCCAGACUUUCAAUAUUGUCCAGACAGUGGAGUACUGCAAGAGCUUUCACUCUAUGCGAUAUCGUUCCCACUUCCUGUUUUUUGGGGGAAAGGACCGGUGCUGUGUUGGAUUUUGCUUCCCUCACACAGAUUAUUUUUCUUCAAUCAUGUGCGACGCUAGGGGACGCAGUGAGCAGGCCGCGUCUCACCGGAUGAUGCAGUCCUGUGGCUGCCUGCUAUCAUCGUUUUCCUGCCACCCCAGUGUUGAGUACACUGGUGGUCUAUCCAUCAUCAGAGGUUCUACUGAUGCCGACUCUGACCGUGGAGCCUUCAGGACGACAGGUGUACACUGAGGACACAGUCACCUUGGCAUGUCAGUUACCUGGCCACUCUGGGCUGGGCUGGCAGUUCUACUGGCACAAAGACAGGCAGGACACUGGCCCUGUGGAGCAGAUGUGGGGCAGUGGUGGAGGUGGGGCGGUCUACCAAAUGUGGCGUGCCUCUGUCACACACACAGGCCAGUACUGGUGCAGAGCAGGGAGAGGACAGCCAGUCUUCUACACCCAAUACAGCCAGGCAGUCUCUGUUAAUGUCAUUGAGCUCUUCACAUCAGUGACUUUGUCAGCAUUUCCUUCGACCGUGGUCAAAGAGGGCGGGGCUUUCAACCUCACCUGUGAGGCCCAGUUUAGCAACUGCAAGCUGAGCCAACAUCAUGGUAACCACAGUCUACAUAGUCACCCUGAUCCUAACUGGACCACAGUGGUUGUAACAUUCUCCUUCCUGAGGGACGGCUGGCCAGUUGCCAGGGACUCUGUCAGUGGGAUGUACAGCGUAGCGAGGGCUUCUAGCUGUCACAUGGGGACCUACAGCUGUGUGGCCAGAGCAGGCAGGGCCAGGAGGAGCAGUCAGGAGAUCAGCAUCACACUAGACAGUGAGUUCAUACUACAUCACCUGAACGUUUAGUUUGCCAAUUGCUAUAGGCUUUCAUUCCUGGUCUGAAAUCAUCUAUUAUUAUUUUUUUACCUUUAUUUAACUAGGCAAGUCAGUUAAGAACAAAUUCUUAUUUUCAAUGACGGCCUAGGAACAGGUUAACUGCCUGUUCAGGGGCAGAACGACAGACUUGUACCUUGUCAGCUCGGGGAUUUGAACUUGCAACCUUUCGGUUACUAGUCCAACACUCUAACCACUAGGCCACCCUUAUUGUGGUGCCAAAACUGGCACUCUUUACCGUUCACUUUGUAUCCUGAUCUCUCUCAUGCUGCCUUCAUCCAGACCUGUCUCUGAUACUGGUCACCUGCUUUGGCACCUUCCUGAUCCUCUCCGUGGCUCCAUUGGCAUUUUUUGUGAGACUAUACGCGAUGAGAUGUAAGUGGCAGCAUAGUGGAUCUUAGUCUGACUCUUGAGUCUCUGGGACUGAGUCAGUUCAACACCUAUCUCUUCUCUUUGUGUGACCAUGCAGUAUGGCAGCUCAGAGGCAGAGGACAAGGAGAAUUGCAGUGCAAUUCACAUGCUGUGAGAACUCAUGUAGUUCACAUGGCUGUAUUAGUGCACAGGUGUAGGAUCUUAAUUUCAUCACCCUGUUGCAUGUUUUUUACUCAAAAGAUUAAAACAGAUGUUUUAUUGUAAUCUUGCAGAUGUAUCUGGACCCAGCUGACUUGAGAAACUUUCUAUCAUUUAUUACAAAAUUGGAGUAUAGAAUAAUAAACAUAUAAUUAUUUGAAGAAUUUUGACCAAAGAAUGUUUUUGUUUUAUUUUCACCACACCCAAAUAAUACAUUGAUUCAACACUGCCACAUGCCUGCAUUGUCAAAUAGAGCCAACUCUUUUCUCAUAACAGGUUCCAUAUUUUGUACAGAAAUAACUGCCCACCACCAGUUGAUUAAAAGUGAGUGUGAGUGAAUCUCAACAGUGUAAGGCAAACGAUAAUAUGUUUGCCCUUAUGUUCCAUUUAUUGGUGAAUUGUUAGAGCUAAAGGAUUGUAUGAUGAAUGAGCCAAGAUCUGAGAAUUGCAUUCUGUCUCCAUAUAAACUCACAAAAAGAGAAACGUCCCUUUUUCAGUACCCUGUCUUUCAAAGAUAAUUCGUAAAAUCCAAAUAACUUCACAGAUCUUCAUUAUAAAGGGUUUAAACACUGUUUCCCAUGCUUGUUCAAUGAACCAUAAACAAUUAAUGCACAUGCACCUGUGGAACGGUUGUUAAGACACUAAAAGCUUACAGACGGUAGGCAAUUAAGGUCACAGUUAUGAAAACUUACCACACUAAAGAGGCCUUUCUACUGACUCUGAAAAAC